rnacentral:lncRNA from 1 species
CCGGGCGGACUGCACAGGUUCCCGUGAGGAGCCGGUGACCAAGGAGGAGUAGAGGACAUGGGACCUCACUUGAGAAAAUAAGCAACAGCACUUACUACAAAGAAGCUUUGCUUUUGCGAAUUCACGCCACGAAGUAGCAAAACUAUUCAAUGAUCCCCCAUCCCAUGAGCAACACGGCCACCUACAUGAGGAGCUAAGCCAUGCGGGAGGCACAGCAAAUCUGUCUAUUCUCAUCAUAGGAUGGCAAAAGAUUAGGUAAAAUGACUGGAAGAGUGUUAAGAUACUAAACCACGAACAUAGCAGAGGAAAUAUGUAUCAAGUUAUGUAGGAUGACCUCAAGAAAUGGCAAUGAAUAAAAAAAAAAUUGUGAGAAAUCUCAAAACCUUGGCCGGCAAGAUGGCUCAGUGUCUACAAACAAUUGCUGCUCAAGUCUGAUGGCCUGAGAUGGGGGCCCCAGAGCUCACGGAAACACCAAAGAGGAGGCAGACAUCUAUAAUCAAGCACUGCUAUAGGAAGAUCGGAGACAGGGACAGGAGAAUCAUCCAGAAGGUCGUGGGCCAGCCUGGAGUCCAUGAACUGGCAGAAACAAGAGAGACCCUACUUCAAAAGGAGCUAGAGGAGAAAGCCAACUCUCAAAGGCUACCCUCUGACCUCCACAUGUGCAUGCUGUGCGACACAUGCACCAGGAAAAAAAAUAUGUGUGGGCACGUAUUCGUGCACACAGACAUAGACACACACAGA